AUUGAACGCUGGCGGCAGGCCUAACACAUGCAAGUCGAACGAGUGGCGGACGGGUGCGUAGUUUCUUGACAACUGCCUGACGGAGGCGGCUGACUACUGGAAACGGUAGCUAAUACUGCAUAACAUCCGUUGUGCCCACAUUGGUUUAGGUAGUAGGUGGGGUAACGGCUAACCUAGGCGACGCUCCCUAGCUGGUCUGAGAGGCUGACCAGCCACACUGGGACUGAGACACGGUCCAGACUCCUACGGUAGGCAGCAGGGGGGAAUAGUCUGCAAUGGGCGCAAGUCUGACCGAGCCAUGCGGCGUGUGUGAAGAAGGCCUUCGGGUUGUAAACCUCUGUCAUCGGGGAGGCGUUAUCCGCAUAGGAAGCACCGGCUAACUCCGUGCCAGCAGCCGCGGUAAUUC
rnacentral:rRNA from 1 species